rnacentral:tRNA from 1 species
GCGCUAGUGGUGUAAGGUUUAGCAUUGCUGCCCGAAAGGCAGAAGAUGCAGGUUUGAGUCUCGCCUGGCACA